GCCAUGUGGAGACUCUGAGGAGGCAGAUUUAGCUUCAGCCUUGUACUUGGGAGUACAGAGUCAGAGUUUGGAGGUGCAGCUGAGUCUGAAGGACACUGCCGGUCUCCAUCCUUGGGGCGCACAGGGUUCUGUCAUGAGGAUAAUAGGUAGAGAUGGUCUCCAUCCUUGGGGCGCACAGGGUUCUGUCAUGAGGAUAAUAGGUAGAGAUGAGUGUGCCCAUAGUCCUGUGUGGACUUAGGAGUUACUAGUGACAGCAGCAGGUGAAAUUAAGACCCUUGGGGGGUGCAGGGAGGGUCCCAGGGAAAUGGGGAGGGGUGAAGACCCAAGGAGGUUGAAGGGAAGGUGGUGCAGCAGUGUGAGA
ensembl:lncRNA novel transcript